rnacentral:rRNA from 1 species
AGCUCCAAUAGCGUAUACUAAAGUUGUUGCAGUUAAAAAGCUCGUAGUUGGAUUUCUGGUCGAAGCAGCCGCUCAGCUUCUAGUAAGUUUGUAGCUGGCGCUUCGUCCAUUUUUGUAAAGGCUGUAUCUGUCAUUAAGUUGGUGGGUACAGAACUUGCAUCAUUUACUGUGAGCAAAAUAGAGUGUUCAAAGCAGGCUUAGGCCAUGAAUAUCUUAGCAUGGAAUAAUAAGAUAAGACCUUGGUCUAUUUUGUUGGUUAGCAUUCCGAGGUAAUGAUUAAUAGGGAUAGUUGGGGGUAUUCGUAUUCAAUUGUCAGAGGUGAAAUUCUUGGAUUUAUUGAAGACGAACUACUGCGAAAGCAUUUACCAAGGAUGUUUUCAUUAAUCAAGAACGAAAGUAC